AUAUUGCACAAUGGGGGGAACCCUGAUGCAGCGACGCCGCGUGGGUGAAGGAGCGUUUCGGCGCGUAAAGCCCUAUCGGCAGGGAAGAAGGAGGACGGUACCUGACUAAGAAGCCACGGCUAACUACGUGCCCGCCGCCGCGGUAAUACGUAGGGGGCAAGCGUUAUCCGGAUUUCCUGGGUGUAAAGGGAGCGUAGACGGUGCAUAAAGUCUGAUGUGAAAGGUCGGGGCCCAACCCCGGGACUGCAUUGGAAACUGUUGAACUGGAGUACAGGAGAGGUAAGCGGAAUUCCUAGUGUAGCGGUGAAAUGCGUAGAUAUUAGGAGGAACACCAGUGGCGAAGGCGGCUUACUGGACUGUAACUGACGUUGAGGCUCGAAAGCGUGGGGAGCAAACAGG
rnacentral:rRNA from 1 species